rnacentral:rRNA from 1 species
GACGAACGCUGGCGGCGUGCCUAAUACAUGCAAGUAGAACGCUGAAGGAGGAGCUUGCUUCUCCGGAUGAGUUGCGAACGGGUGAGUAACGCGUAGGUAACCUGCCUGGUAGCGGGGGAUAACUAUUGGAAACGAUAGCUAAUACCGCAUAAGAGUAGAUGUCGCAUGACAUUUGCUUAAAAGGUGCAACUGCACCACUACCAGAUGGACCUGCGUUGUAUUAGCUAGUUGGUGAGGUAACGGCUCACCAAGGCAACGAUACAUAGCCGACCUGAGAGGGUGAUCGGCCAAACUGAGACUGAGACAAGGCCCAGACUCCUACGGGAGGCAGCAGUAGGGAAUCUUCGGCAAUGGACGGAAGUCUGACCGAGCAACGCCGCGUGAGUGCAGAAGGUUUUCGGAUCGUAAAGCUCUGUUGUAAGAGAAGAACGAGUGUGAGAGUGGAAAGUUCACACUGUGACGGUAUCUUACCAGAAAGGGACGGCUAACUACGUG